ACAGGGGGUGCUAGCGUUGCUCGGAAUCACUGGGCGUAAAGCGCACGUAGGCGGUCCCGUAAGUCGGGUGUGAAAGCCCUCAGCCUAACUGAGGAACUGCGCCCGAUACUGCGGGGCUUGAGGAUGGGAGGGGAGAGUGGAAUUCCUGGUGGAGCGGUGAAAUGCGUAGAUAUCAGGAGGAAUACCAGUGGCGAAGGCGACUCUCUGGUCCAUUCCUGACGCUGAGGUGCGAGAGCUAGGGGAGCAAACGGGA
rnacentral:rRNA from 1 species